rnacentral:tRNA from 1 species
CUGGGUGUGGCGCAGUUGGUAGCGCACCUGGUUAGGGACCAGGAGGUCGCUUGUUCGAGUCAAGUCACCCAGA